AGUUUUAUAGUUUAAAAUAAAAUAUUAAAUUGCAAAUUUAAUGAUAAGAAAUUUUCUUUAAAACUU
rnacentral:tRNA from 1 species